CUUGGGAAUCUGCCCAGUAGCGGGGGAUAACGUUUCGAAAGGAGCGCUAAUACCGCAUACGCCCUACGGGGGAAAGGGGGGGAUCUUCGGACCUCUCACUAUUGGAUGAGCCCAAGUCGGAUUAGCUAGUUGGUGGGGUAAAGGCCUACCAAGGCGACGAUCCGUAGCUGGUCUGAGAGGAUGAUCAGCCACACUGGAACUGAGACACGGUCCAGACUCCUACGGGAGGCAGCAGUGGGGAAUAUUGGACAAUGGGCGAAAGCCUGAUCCAGCCAUGCCGCGUGUGUGAAGAAGGCCUUCGGGUUGUAAAGCACUUUAAGCGAGGAGGAAUGGCUCUGGGUUAAUACCCUUGAGCAGUGACGUUACUCGCAGAAUAAGCACCGGCUAACUCUGUGCCAGCAGCCGCGGUAAUACAGAGGGUGCAAGCGUUAAUCGGAAUUACUGGGCGUAAAGCGCGCGUAGGCGGUUGCGUAAGUUGGAUGUGAAAUCCCCGGGCUCAACCUGGGAAUUGCAUUCAAAACUGCGCGGCUAGAGUGUGGGAGAGGAAGGUAGAAUUCCAGGUGUAGUGGUGAAAUGCGUAGAUAUCUGGAGGAAUACCGAUGGCGAAGGCAGCCUUCUGGCCUAACACUGACGCUGAGGUGCGAAAGCAUGGGGAGCAAACAGGAUUAGAUACCCUGGUAGUCCAUGCCGUAAACGAUGUCUACUAGCCGUUGGGGGACUUGAUCCUUUAGUGGCGCAGCUAACGCAUUAAGUAGACCGCCUGGGGAGUACGGUCGCAAGACUAAAACUCAAAUGAAUUGACGGGGGCCCGCACAAGCGGUGGAGCAUGUGGUUUAAUUCGAUGCAACGCGAAGAACCCUACCUGUCUUGACAUGUC
rnacentral:rRNA from 1 species